GAGUGGAAGAUACAUGGAGGGUUUCUUGGUCCACCAAGCUAGCUAGUCAUGUUGGUAUAAGGUGGUAUGGAAGCUGAUGAGAAGAUGGUAUGGAAGCUGAUGAGAAAAUGGUAUGGAAGCUGAUGAGAAGAUGGUAUGGAAGCUGAUGAGAAGAUGGUAUGGAAGCUGAUGAGAAGGUGGUAUGGAAGCUGAUGGGAAGAUGGUAUGGAAGCUGAUGAGAAGGUGGUAUGGAAGCUGAUGAGAAGGUGGUAUGGAAGCUGAUGAGAAGGUGGUAUGGAAGCUGAUGAGAAGGUGGUAUGGAAGCUGAUGGGAAGGUGGUAUGGAAGCUGAUGGGAAGGUGGUAUGGAAGCUGAUGAGAAGGUGGUAUGGAAGCUGAUGGGAAGGUGGUAUGGAAGCUGAUGAGAAGGUGGUAUGGAAGCUGAUGGGA